rnacentral:rRNA from 1 species
AUUGAACGCUGGCGGCAUGCUUUACACAUGCAAGUCGAACGGCAGCGCGGGCUUCGGCCUGGCGGCGAGUGGCGAACGGGUGAGUAAUACAUCGGAACGUGCCCAGUAGUGGGGGAUAGCUCGGCGAAAGCCGGAUUAAUACCGCAUACGACCUGAGGGUGAAAGCGGGGGAUCUUCGGACCUCGCGCUAUUGGAGCGGCCGAUGGCAGAUUAGCUAGUUGGUGGGGUAAAGGCCUACCAAGGCGACGAUCUGUAGCUGGUCUGAGAGGACGACCAGCCACACUGGGACUGGAACACGGCCCAGACUCCUACGGGAGGCAGCAGUGGGGAAUUUUGGACAAUGGGCGAAAGCCUGAUCCAGCAAGGCCGCGUGUGUGAUGAAGGCCUUCGGGUUGUAAAGCACUUUUGGCGGGAACGAAAAGGACUGUGCCAAUACCACGGUUCGAUGACGGUACCCGCAGAAUAAGCACCGGCUAACUACGUG